GACGAACGCUGGCGGCGUGCUUAACACAUGCAAGUCGAACGGAAAGGCCCUGCUUUUGUGGGGUGCUCGAGUGGCGAACGCGUGAGUAACACGUGAGUAACCUGCCCUUGUCUUUGGGAUAACUUCAGGAAACUGGGGCUAAUAUCGGAUAGGAGCUCCUGCUGCAUGGUGGGGGGUGGAAAGUUUCGGCGUUUGGGGAUGGACUGGCGGCUUACGAGCUUGUUGGUGGGGUAGUUGACUUCCAAGGCUUUGACGGGUAGGCGGCCGGAGAGGGUGAUAGGCCACAUGGGAAGGGAGACAGGGUCCAUAGGCCUGAGGGAGGGAGCAGUCGCGAAUGGGAGGCAACGGGCGGAAGCAUUACACAGCGAGCGGGAGCCGGUGACGAAGGCGCUGGGUGCGGAAUGACGGCUUUCGGGUUGUGAACAGCUGUGGCCUGAGACGAAGCGUGAGUGACGGUAAUGAAUAAAGAAGCACCGGCUAACUACGUG
rnacentral:rRNA from 1 species